rnacentral:misc_RNA from 1 species
GUUCCCCGAGCUGAACAUCGAAAACUGCGUCUGGUUUGUAAGAGAUGGUACCGCCUCCUGGCUGGAAAUUUUUUCUAUUCUCUUAGGAAAAGGCUGAGGAGUGGGUUUAUGUCAUCAAGCGAGAUCGUGAUGGAAAGAUCUCAUGGAAUGCUUUUGAUCCUGUCUAUCAGCUCUGGCAGCCACUUCCUCCUGUUCCCCGGGANNNNUCUGAAGCCCUUGGUUUUGGCUGUGCUGUUCUAAGUGGUUGCCACCUAUAUUUAUUUGGAGGGAAGGAUCCACUCAGAGGGUCCAUGAGACGGGUCAUUUUCUACAGUGCCCGGACAAAUAAAUGGCAUAGGGCACCAGACAUGCUUCGAAAACGUCAUUUCUUUGGUUCAUGUGUUAUAAAUAACUGCCUUUAUGUGGCUGGUGG